GCCCGCCUAGCUCAAUCGGAUAGAGCGUCAGACUUUUAUCUAGGGCGGAAUCUGAAGGCUGCGAGUUCGACCCUCGCGGUGGGCU